rnacentral:rRNA from 1 species
UUGAAAGGGAAACGAUUGAAGUCAGUCAUGCCGGUGGGAAUCAACUUAGGGGAAACUCUAGGUGCACUUCUUCGCUUGGCAGGUCAACGUCGAUUUUGAAUGUCAUAAAAUAAUUGGGGGAAGGUAGCUCCUUCGGGAGUGUUAUAGCCCUUGAUAGAUGUGAUGUUUGGGGUCGAGGAUUGCAACGGAUACCCUUUGGGGCUAGCCGCCUGAUCUCUAAUCGGUGUUGGGUUACGGAUAGCAUGCUGACCGUUUUCUAAUUACUGGUUAAAAGGUUAGAGCGUGCAUAAAUUCGUUAAGGAUGUUGACGUA